UACGUAGGGCGCAAGCGUUAUCCGGAAUUAUUGGGCGUAAAGAGCUCGUAGGCGGUUCGUCGCGUCGGCUGUGAAAACCCGGAGCUCAACUCCGGGCCUGCAGUCGAUACGGGCGGACUGGAGUGUUGCAGGGGAGACUGGAAUUCCUGGUGUAGCGGUGAAAUGCGCAGAUAUCAGGAGGAACACCGGUGGCGAAGGCGGGUCUCUGGGCAACUACUGACGCUGAGGAGCGAAAGCGUGGGGAGCGAACAGG
rnacentral:rRNA from 1 species